rfam:Gossypium raimondii Chr02_contig_547, whole genome shotgun sequence.
AGUCCAUGAUGAGAACACCUUCUCAACAAAUCUUUAAAUCUCUCCCACAUUCAUAAAGAGUCUUAAUAUCAAACUGAACAAAAAAAGAGAUGUCAUUGCUCAACUU